UACGUAGGAUGCAAGCGUUGUCCGGAAUUAUUGGGCGUAAAGAGCGCGCAGGCGGUAUGACAAGUCAGAUGUGAAAGAGGCCGGCUUAACCGGCAAGGGUCAUUUGAAACUGUCAGACUAGAGUGCAGCAGAGGAUAGUGGAAUUCCCGGUGUAGAGGUGAAAUUCGUAGAUAUCGGGAGGAACACCAAUGGCGAAGGCAGCUCGCUGGGACGUGACUGACGCUGAGACGCGAAAGCGUGGGGAGCAAACAGG
rnacentral:rRNA from 1 species